CAAGCCCAAGCAUGAACCGUCGCAGCAUAGGCACGUAACGCAGUCAGUUUCUUGCGUUUUACUCCCGACUUGAUUUCGGGCGAUUUAAGCCACCAAUUGACGCACCGUUUCUUCCUACUUAAGCUCCAUUCUCUCCUCUCUAUUUCCCCCCAAACGGAACAUCCCGAGAGCCCCCAGGCUUCUCGAAUUUUAGCUCGCAAAUUCACUGUACCGGCGAGUUCCCGGGACAAAUUCGCGACCGAGCCAUAUUCAUCUGUGAGCACAUCCGCGGGGAAGUUUUUCGGCGAGUUUCCGGCGAGCGACUGCGCGUGAACCAGGGAGUAGAACACACCAUCGACCCUCCAUCAUUGUCAUCAGCUCGUCGAUUACCUCACGGACGUCGAGGACCAAACGCGAGUUCACCCACGAUCCAGGGCCAGGGAGCAACCUCUCCUCCAAUUGUGCUUGUGCUGAUUACAACGAGUGUUUCUGCGAAGAGUGUUCCAACUCCUCAUCUCACCAAGGCAAGUGACACACCCUCACAAAUGUCCUAGAUUUUAUUCAUUCACCGUAGUGAUUUUUGUAGUAAGUCUAGGGAUAUGCUUUGCUUUUGUAAUCCCAGUAGAUAGCUACUUCCACCUGACCAUAUUUUUGUCGCCAUUGAAUUUAGUUGCUGCUUAGCUAUGCUAUGAAAAUGUUUUAGUAGUGGUUAUGGAAAAACAACUAAAUUCAAUGAACUACCUGGGUGGAAUGUGGCUUUGAUUGGGUUAUGUUGAGUGGUUCCCUGGGGUCAUGUCGUCGAACCUCUGAACCGCCAGGUGUAUCGCACUUGUGGACGGCCACCCAGGAACAAAGAGAUAAUAGACAACCUUGCUCAUUAGCUUACCGUACAACCACAUGCUAUAUGGGCUCUGGCUUGACGGAGUAUGUUGUGUGAACCUGGACCCUAUGCGACAUGAUGAUGUAGGGGAAUGUAGGUUGGAGCGGGUCCGUAGAGGAUGGUCUGGGUGAUCACUUCGGAAAAGUCUCGUCCUAGUCGACAUCUGUCCAUUUGAGCAAAAUGUGCAUCAUGGAAGAAGAACAGACUAGGUCAUGUGGGUAAAUUUGUACAACCUCUGCAGAGUGUUAAAUCUAAGUACUUAGCCGUGUCCCCGGUUACGGACAAUUUGAGUGAACUGACAAGGAUCCUGUUCGAAAGUCUCCUCAUCCCAACUUCUUAAAUUAAAAUUUGAUGGGUGAACAAGGGUAGGAGGAAUUCACUGGUUUCCAUCAGUGGUAUUCCAGGUUCAUUGAUUUCUAUCAAUGGAACCGCCUAAUUAGAAGGGAAGAAAAUGGUUUGACAAUUGAUAGGAGAAAACUGGCUUUACGCAAAUCAUACCUGAGCUCUACUAGCCAAAUGUACACUUAAGUGUUAGGUUGCCAUUUGAGUCCACCAUAGUGUCAUCUUGCCAAUACAUUCAAAGUAUUGACCAUUCGUGGCUGUAACUUUUCAUGUUGCAGAUGUUUUGAAAGACGAGUGAGUUACGAUGAUUAGGGUUACGAGUCUAUCCUCGACAUGCUCGCCUGUGGCACAUGAAGACGAAGGACUCCAUGCUGUCUAAGUUUGUUCGUUGUGAAACUCUGAUGAUAUGCUAGCCUUGUGCUAUGCAAUUUGUAAUCCUUUAUGUAAAUUCUGGAUCAUACGAUGUAAUAAAGACCUUUGUAUCUUGGUAUUACA